rnacentral:sRNA from 1 species
AUCGAUUUUAUCCUGACUCAUGACACUAUCC